UUUAGAAAAUAGCUCCCCAGGUAGCAGAGGAAAUCUCCUCUAGGAGAAACUGCUGGCCUCUGCUCCUUACCCUGGAGGGGAUGCCAUAGCCAGUUCAUGCUGCCUGAAUGUUGCUCCUGUGCAGAGGGUUUGGAGCAUGGCAGAGGGUUUGGAGCGUGGCAGAGGGUUUGGAGCAUGGCAGAGGGUUUGGAGCGUGGCAGAGGGUUUGGAGCAUGGCAGAGGGUUUGGAGCAUGGCAGAGGGUUUGGAGCGUGGCAGAGGGUUUGAGCAGGGACCAUCUGGGCAUAGUAAAAUAUCUGAGUAGAGGUCAGCUGCUCUGGACUUGAAACCUCAAUUGCCUGCAGGGACCAGGCAGCUAUGGCUGGAGGGUGGUGAUCAGGAAGAGUAAUUACAGUGAGCAACUGCCCCUUGGCCUGUUGAUUAUUAUACAGAAGGGGAUAUGUGUCUAGCACUGCCACAUCUUUGUGGAUUUUUUGAGGAAUUUCCUGAAUUUUAAAUGUUGGUAGCUCAUUAAAAAUUUUGGAGUCAACUCAGCCAAACGCGUGCAGGCUGCCAGCUUGCGGUCCCUGCAGGGAAUUAGGUGGCUUGGCUGGGUGCUGGCUGUGUGAUCCUGUCCUGUCCUCACUGACUCGCCCAGCAUUCCAUGUCCAGGCAGCCAUGGAAAACCUCCUGGAGCAGCGUUUGUACCAGCCCCAGAAGCUGCUGGAGGACCUGAGGGGGACAGAUGCUCAGCAGUUCCACACUGCCAUGAAAUGCCUCUUAGAAGACAAGAAGGACCGCCUGGAGCUGGACAACAUCGUUAUUGACUUGGGAGAGAUUCGGAAACAAGCCUUGCAGAGCCCGGGUGUGAACCGCAGCCUGUUUCUCGUCACGCUGGAGAGGUGUUUCCAGGUGCUGAACCCCCUGGAGUGUGUGGAGAUCCUGGGCAUGGUGCUGAGGGGAUCCUCAGGCCGCUUUCUCCACCCGGACAUCAUGGAGAGUCUCCCGCAAGACCUGCAUGAAGACGUCUUCAAGAACCUGUCUGCGUUGUUCAAAGAUCUCUAUGACCAGACCUCGGCCCAUGCCCAGAGGGCUGUCUACUGCUGGAUGACUGGGAUUCUGAAGACAUCCUCCAAUGUGACUGAUGACUCUGUUUCAUGGGUCAGUGCAGAAAACUUAUGGAUUUUGGGCAGAUACAUGGUUCACUUACCCUUUGAAGAAAUUAUGAGAAUUAGUCCCAUAGAAAUUGGGCUGUUUAUCAGCUAUGACAACGCCACCAAGCAGCUGGACACGGUUUAUGACAUCACGCCUGAACUGGCCCAGGCGUUUCUGGAGAGGAUCAGCUCCUCCAACUUUGACAUGAGGAAUACCUCUACCAUCCACAGGCAAGGAGUGUGGGCACUGGGCCCCCAGAGCUGUUUCCUACCUAAGCAUCAGCUUUCUCUGAGCAGCAGAAGAGCUGGGGAGGGGAGGGAGGUGGCUGAUCCAUCUCUUUGAAUUGUCCCACGUCUCUGUGCAUGUGAGGGAGGUGUUUCCCCAAAGAGAUCCCUUUAAAGAGG
rnacentral:lncRNA from 1 species